rnacentral:rRNA from 1 species
GACGAACGCUGGCGGCGUGCCUAAUACAUGCAAGUAGAACGCUGAAGAGAGGAGCUUGCUCUUCUUGGAUGAGUUGCGAACGGGUGAGUAACGCGUAGGUAACCUGCCUUGUAGCGGGGGAUAACUAUUGGAAACGAUAGCUAAUACCGCAUAACAAUGGAUGACACAUGUCAUUUAUUUGAAAGGGGCAAUUGCUCCACUACAAGAUGGACCUGCGUUGUAUUAGCUAGUAGGUGAGGUAAUGGCUCACCUAGGCGACGAUACAUAGCCGACCUGAGAGGGGGAUCGGCCAAACUGGGACUGAGACACGGCCCAGACUCCUACGGGAGGCAGCAGUAGGGAAUCUUCGGCAAUGGGGGCAACCCUGGACGAGCAACGCCGCGUGAGUGAAGAAGGUUUUCGGAUCGUAAAGCUCUGUUGUAAGUCAAGAACGGGUGUGAGAGUGGAAAGUUCACACUGUGACGGUAGCUUACCAGAAAGGGACGGCUAACUACGUG